CCUACGGGGGGCAGCAGUGGGGAAUAUUGGACAAUGGGGGCAACCCUGAUCCAGCCAUGCCGCGUGUGUGAAGAAGGCCCUCGGGUUGUAAAGCACUUUCAGUGAGGAAGAACGCCUGGUGGUUAAUACCCAUCAGGAAAGACAUCACUCACAGAAGAAGCACCGGCUAACUCCGUGCCAGCAGCCGCGGUAAUACGGAGGGUGCGAGCGUUAAUCGGAAUUACUGGGCGUAAAGCGCGCGUAGGUGGCUUGAUAAGCCGGUUGUGAAAGCCCCGGGCUCAACCUGGGAACGGCAUCCGGAACUGUCAAGCUAGAGUGCAGGAGAGGAAGGUAGAAUUCCCGGUGUAGCGGUGAAAUGCGUAGAGAUCGGGAGGAAUACCAGUGGCGAAGGCGGCCUUCUGGACUGACCCUGACACUGAGGUGCGAAAGCGUGGGUAGCAAACAGGAUUAGAUACCCCGGUAGUC
rnacentral:rRNA from 1 species